rnacentral:rRNA from 1 species
GAUUAUGGCUCAGAACGAACGCUGGCGGCAUGCCUAAUACAUGCAAGUCGAACGGAGAUAGCAAUAUCUUAGUGGCGAACGGGUGCGUAACACGUGAGCAACCUGCCUUAUACAUCGGAAUAACAGCUGGAAACGGCUGCUAAUACCGGAUAAGACCACACCAAGGCAUCUUGGAGAGGUCAAAGCGAAUUAGCGGUAUAAGAUGGGCUCGCGUCCAAUUAGCUAGUUGGUGGGGUAACGGCCCACCAAGGCAACGAUUGGUAGCCGACUUGAGAGAGUGAUCGGCCACACUGGAACUGAGACACGGUCCAGACUCCUACGGGAGGCAGCAGUAGGGAAUAUUGGGCAAUGGAGGAAACUCUUACCCAAGCAAUGCCGCGUGAGUGAUGAAGGUCUUUGGAUUGUAAAGCUCUUUGAUUGGGGACGAAUAAAUGACGGUACCCAAAGAACAAGCCCCGGCUAACUAUGUGCCAGCCGCCGC